UACGUAGGUGGCAAGCGUUGUCCGGAUUUACUGGGCGUAAAGAGCGCGCAGGCGGUCGUUCAAGUCGCAUGUGAAAGCCCCCCGGCUCAACCGGGGGAGGGUCGUCGGGGACCGCACCGCUUGAGGGCGGUAGGGGCUGGUGGAAUGCCUGGUGUAGUGGUGAAAUGCGUAGAGAUCAGGCGGAACACCCGUGGCGAAGGCGGCCAGCUGGGCCGUCCCUGACGCUGAGGCGCGAAGGCGUGGGGAGCGAACGGG
rnacentral:rRNA from 1 species